CUCUCAUACUCAAAUUAAUGUUACAUUGCAAUACCUUUUGAUAUAUAUAUAUUUGAUUCUACUUUGUCUAUUGUUUCAACUCUCAAUUCUGAUUCUUUGAGGUCGUAGCAGGGGUAAUUUGAGCUUGUGAUUGGACUUUUAGCUAGUCAUUUCAUUAUUUAUAAGCCCUACAGGCUUCAUCUUCUCAGGAUACAACACAACUAACUACACAGUUUUAGUUCUUGAAGCUGUUUUAGAAACAACAAUAGUUACUCUAGAACUGAAAAAUUGUACUAAAUGAUAGUUGUAGUACAAAUAGUUGUGAAUAUUAACGUGUUAUUCAUGGAUCAUGAUAAUGAAAUUCCACCUCUUAUGUUUUU